CAGUUCAAAAAAAAAAACACCUAUGUUAGCAUCUAUAAUAUGUUUUAAUUGAUACAUCAAAUAUUAACAAUGGACAAAUAGCGAUUAUUGACUGCUGCCCGUGAUCUUUACAUGUUAACUUAAAUUUUAGUAACUAACAUAUGUGUUACAUGAUAACAAAUAUAUUAGAUUAAUAGCCAAUAUUGUAUUAUAAAGACUGUUAUUAUAUUAUUGAUUUGUGUAACGCAUUAUAAAUAACAUUUAUAUUGAUAAUCAAAUAAGAACCGAUAAAACUGAAAAUUCAAAGCCACAUAUAAAAUAAAUAAUUAAAAUUAAAAUUGAAUUGGAAAUAGAAUGAUAGAGCUUUGUAUAAUAAUUAGAUAUUAGAGUUAGAAACAUCACAUAUGUUUUCAGAGAAAAAAAUCAGAAAAGAAAAUGGCCAAAAGUAAGAGAGAGGAUGUGAGAGAGAGAGAGAGCUAGUAAAUAAUAGGUAGGAGAGAGAAGAUAUAGCUGACACACCCACAUGCAUGUGUAGAAAGCUAAAAUAGUCAUGAAAUUAUUUAUGUCAAAUCAAGUGUAAUUGGCUAAUUAAUAUCUCCCAUGUAUGCAUUUCUGCCAAUUAUCUCUAUUUUAAUAUAGAAAAUAAAAACUUUUAAAAUAAUCGCAAUAAGAUAAAUAUAAUUAAUAUUCAAUUUAUUUUUUCAUUAAAA
rnacentral:lncRNA from 1 species